GGGUGGUAAUGCCGGAUGCUCCAGUUGGAUGCAUGUCCUUCUGGGAAAGAUUCAUCGGUAUGGGAUGGGGUCGCGUCCUAUCAGCUUGAUGGCGGGGUAACGGCCCACCAUGGCUUCGACGGGUAGCCGGCCUGAGAGGGCGACCGGCCACAUUGGGACUGAGAUACGGCCCAGACUCCUACGGGAGGCAGCAGUGGGGAAUAUUGCACAAUGGGCGCAAGCCUGAUGCAGCGACGCCGCGUGCGGGAUGACGGCCUUCGGGUUGUAAACCGCUUUUGACUGGGAGCAAGCCCUUCGGGGUGAGUGUACCUUUCGAAUAAGCACCGGCUAACUACGUGCCAGCAGCCGCGGUAAUACGUAGGGUGCAAGCGUUAUCCGGAAUUAUUGGGCGUAAAGGGCUCGUAGGCGGUUCGUCGCGUCCGGUGUGAAAGUCCAUCGCUUAACGGUGGAUCCGCGCCGGGUACGGGCGGGCUUGAGUGCGGUAGGGGAGACUGGAAUUCCCGGUGUAACGGUGGAAUGUGUAGAUAUCGG
rnacentral:rRNA from 1 species